CUGGAACCCAAAUCAUGCUCUUCCUAUCACGCUACCUACCUUUUCUUUGUACCCUGGUCUGCAAAUGUCUUGUUUUCAGAACAAAGUUACUGUAGUCCAUCAGCUGAUCGCACCAGGGAAACCAUUUGGGGAGGACUCAGAAGAUGUUGCCUGAGCUGGCUUCCCUGUUCUCGUCCAGAGCCACACAUCUGGCACUAAACAGGACAGCUUCUCCACAGAGUGCAGGAGGGCAACCAACCAGAGCCUUGGGGAGCCCCCACUGGUGAUCUGACUUCAGUCAUAUUUGCCAAUAUCUAGGCCAUGAUAGACGUGGAUGAACCCAGAGAUUGACACACUGAGUGAAGCAAGCGAGAAAGAAAACGUUGCACACUAACACGUGCACAUGGAAUCCAGGGAAACGGCACCAGAUGAACUCACUCACGAAGCAGAAUCUGAGACAGACACAGAGAACCCUCCUACGUUUUUAAGUGCACAGUGCAGCAUUGUUAACUGUGGACACAGUAUUGCACAGCAGAACUUUACUUGCGCUCCUCUCUUAUAUCUGAGACUUUAUACCCUAUGAAUAGCAAUUUUCCAUUUCCCCCUCCCCGAGCAGCUGGCAACCAUCAUUCUACUUUCCACGUCUAUAUAUUUGAUUAUUUUAGAAACCUCAUAAAAGUAGAAUCAUACAAUAUCUGUCCUUUUGUGACCAGCUUACUUUAUUUAGUAUAAUGUCCUCCAGACUUAUCCAUGUUAAUGCAUAUGGCAG
ensembl:lncRNA